CGUCGGUGAUUCGAGUUGCCGAAGCUGCCGCUGCUGAAUUAUAAUUAGGGCUUCGUUUCUUGAAUUCAAGAGAUGAGCUUGAGAUGAAUCUCUCCUUCCUCUCGCUCAAUCUCUCCACCUCUCUCUGCAGCUCAGAAAAAUGGUGAUGAAAAAAUAUGCUUACAGAGUGAUCUUGAUGAGGGAGGAGAGAGCGAAGGUUGGCAUACAAAGUGUUCAUCUUCUUGCGGCGAUCACGCUCGCUUGCAUUGUGGUUGAGUUUCUUCACCUUCUUAUCUCCAUCUCCAUCUCCAUCUCCAUUUUUGAGUGAGGGAGAUUGGAGAUCAUUGGAAUUACCUCCUGAGGUCUCACUUCUCUCUCUGCAAAAAUAGCUCAAGUUUUCUUCAUCAUUCAUAGCCCAUCCAUAUGGAAAAUAUUGAGGAGAAAUUGCCAACAUUUUCAAGUGGAAAUUGAAUUACUAGUAUAUUUCUUUGAUAUCUUGUUUAGGUGAUAUGUUAUGUUACUAUAGUUGAUGAAUUGCACUAUUUAUACAUACUCGGAUUCCACUAAUAAUCUAGUUACCAUUUCAACUCUACUACAUCAUCUUCAUAUUUUAAUGUAUGAUUAAACUAUUCAUCCAUGUUAUUUUA